rnacentral:misc_RNA from 1 species
UACUACAUGAAGAGUAUGACACCUAGUGCUUUUGAAGCUGCUCUACGUCAGAAAGAAGGCGAACUUGCAUCGUACAUGUCUCGUUUGACAUCUAUGGAAUCAAUACGAGACUCUCUUGCAGAGGAGUUGGUCAAAAUGACAGCACAGUGUGAAAAGUUGCGGGCAGAGUCUGCCUUGUUGCCUGGCAUUCGAGCAGAACUAGAAGCA